rnacentral:rRNA from 1 species
AGUGAACGCUGGCGGUAGGCCUAACACAUGCAAGUCGAACGGCAGCACAGUAAGAGCUUGCUCUUACGGGUGGCGAGUGGCGGACGGGUGAGGAAUACAUCGGAAUCUACUUUUUCGUGGGGGAUAACGUAGGGAAACUUACGCUAAUACCGCAUACGGCCUACGGGUGAAAGCAGGGGAUCUUCGGACCUUGCGCGAUUGAAUGAGCCGAUGUCGGAUUAGCUAGUUGGCGGGGUAAAGGCCCACCAAGGCGACGAUCCGUAGCUGGUCUGAGAGGAUGAUCAGCCACACUGGAACUGAGACACGGUCCAGACUCCUACGGGAGGCAGCAGUGGGGAAUAAUGGACAAUGGGCGCAAGCCUGAUCCAGCCAUACCGCGUGGGUGAAGAAGGCCUUCGGGUUGUAAAGCCCUUUUGUUGGGAAAGAAAAGCAGCAGGUUAAUACCCCGCUGUUCUGACGGUACCCAAAGAAUAAGCACCGGCUAACUUCGUG